ensembl:lncRNA
CAGAAGAGUAUGCCACAAGAGUAUGUCCCUAGGAAUUGCUGUGAGAUGAGGGGUGUGCAGGCUUACAGGGAAAAUGUAAUGACAUGUGAGAAGCUGAGGCAGCAGUGCAACGUGAGAUAUUUAACCUUGAAGAGGUGGCAUGUGCUGCUGGGAAGACAGCUCCUGAAGAUGUCUGUGUGUGAAUUCUGUGAAGCCAGUUUCCUGCCCACCACAGAAUAAAGCAUGAUGAUUCUACUGAUGAUUCUUGAUGACAAAGCGUGAUGACUUGAUGAUUCUAAAGGUCUUUUCCAACCUCUGUGAUUCUGUGCUGGACCUGCCUCCAGCUCUGCCCCUGUUCAGUGCUCUCCUGACAUGGGGUGUGUGAAGUACAGAGAUGGUUUGAAAUCCUCAGAGAAAGGGCAACCACUUUUGCCCUCCGUGCUUGACCAUGUGACUUGACAGGUGCUUAGACAUCAGCUCAAUAGCUUAUCUCUGGGAUCGAAAAGUUCAGAAAAGGGGUUCCUGCCUGCGUGAGGAAUGAUCAGGAUUCAUGGCACAGCACAAAUAUGUCCCUCUGGGAGUCCUGACUGCUGAAUCCGCGGUGUUUUGGGGUAGGAGGACAACGUACACCUGUGUCACUUCUACCUUUUCCUCUCCUACCUGCCGACUCUCAUUUGGCAGCACCAUGCAGAGCAGAGCCACUUCUGAAAGAGUCCUUCUUGCACAAGCUCCCCCUUAUUCUGACCCAAAUUCGCAGUUACUGUUUGGAGUGAUUGAUGCUAUAAAAAGGAACCUUCAGGGGCUGCCUCUGAGCUGCAGCCAUCUGAGAAGAGCACAACAAAGCCACCUUCAUGCUUGCUGGGCUUUUUUCUCAUGAUAAUCAGUGCCUGUAUCAUCUGCAGUGCUGUUUGGUUCUUCCAGCCAGCAUUCACCGCCUGAGUAGUGCGAACUGUUGGCUGCACUGGACUUGAUGAGGAAUGUGGGGCAGUGACUCUCUGCUGUCUCCUACCAGAUUCUCCACCUUCUGAUGAAAUAACAGUUUUCUAUAGAAAUAACAGUUUCUGAAGCAUGCAAGAUCUUGGCAGGACACAAUGGGAACUGCAAAACACAGCCUCUGCCUCCUAAUGCUACAUUCAGCUUAAAUUACCCUCUUGUUUCACAGUGUUGCCAUCAUGUCCAUGGGCUUGUAGUGUCCUUCCAGCCUCACCAAGGCCAUCUCCCACAAAAGCCUGCACAAAGCCAGGAGACAGUGACAAUAACACUCAAGCCGCAAUCCUAGUGACCAAGUGGCCAAGGCUAGUGGGAAGCUAUCACCACACAGCCUCCACUUAGCUGGUUCAGUACCUCUCCCUGUUUUUCCUUUGCUAGAUGUGCACCACAGGCAUCUCCCAGCCCCGCAAAAGAAGAUCCUCUCAACCUCUAAAAGUUAAAAACAACAACAAAAACCCCAAACAAACAAAACUCAGAGAUAAGACAAAAAGCCCUAAUUUUUCUUUCGUCCUCCAAUUUCACUGAAGAACAGUAGCAUUGCAAUUCUGAAAUAUCUGAACCUGGGAAGCAGGUAGAAGCUCCUCUGCAGGUGUGCUGCUGGUAUCAAGGCUCAUAGGGGUGACAAGGGGGACAAAGGUAGUGGGGCUGUCCCAUGGCACAUUUCAGCAAUGAGCUGCUGGGAAGCAGGGAACAUCUCUAGGAGCUUUUUGUUAUUAAGGUUUUUUUUGCUAUUAUGUUUUUCCAACGAAUUCCAAUAAAUAAGUAAAUGCCUUGGACACCUUCAGAGAGAAGUUAAUAUGUCAGUGUCAAUGGCUCUUGGGCUGUCUGGCUCAACAGAAAGGUCUGGGUGAGGCUAUGUUUGUGUGUAGGAGCCUCAGGGGUUUUAAGUUAUGGCUCAUGCUUCAUGGCACAGACCAGGAGGGAUUCCCCCAUUCUUACUGUGUUCGUCACUGCACAGCUGGACACACAUGGAGGGAGCAACACGACGGAGCUGGGGAUGGUUACAUUCCCUGAACCAUCAUGUCUGACAUGACUCAACCUGUCUGAGCGCUUAACAGCAGCUCCCGUGUUUCUCACUGGGACAUAAGUUACCAAUCAUACAUGGAUUCAGAUGCUGCUGAGUGCUUCAGCUUCAAUUUUAUCUAAUCAAGAUUGAAUUCCUCUGCCUUUAUGACUACUUUUCUCCAAUUUUAUGUGCUUGCCAGGUCAGGCUCCAGCCCUGCAGGUACUUAGGGUUGGAACUAUGUGCAUGGCCAACAGCUGCUGUGCACAGCCACUCUGCAGGUGGAAGCUUGUCCUGAAGUCUUCAAAGAAGCGAGGCCAGGGGUCCCAGAGGCUGAUUCUCCCAGCUGUCCUUUUAAUUUCAUUCAGACAACAGGUGUUCCUAGGGCAUGAUGAACACACUAACAACUGGUACACAGCGCUGUUUAUUCUCCUGAACUCUGUGUGCUUUUUUUCCUAGAUGUUUCAGAGCAGUGUUGACAUUCAGAACUGCAAUAAAAGCUGUUUACUUUCCAAGUGCAGCAUUUUCUCCUGUCAGAAAGAAAGAAAUGAAAGAGAACUACGAUCAGGACAUUUGGAUGGCACUAGUGACAGCUGUGACAGCCAUCUGUAGGAGGUGAUAUCUCUAGCCAACAGCAGCUGUGUCUCCUUGGUGGUGGCUUGCUCAUGUGUCACACUGAGCUUGCACAGGUUUCUGACCCCAGUGGACCUCUUGCACCAUGGUUUUACCCCUUUUCUGAGGUGGUUUUGGGUCUCAAGUUGACACUUAAAGAGGGUGGGGUGAGUUUGUGUUCAGGAAGGACCCAUGAGAUGCUCCAAGGCAUUUGCUGCCUUUGGAAAAGCAAGUGGACAUCUCCAGUGGGCUGAGCUCUGUGCUGCCACGGCCAUGCUGUUUGUAGGAUCCCAGCUGGAUGUUCUAAUGGUAUCUGUUUCUAUUAGAUCUACAGAAAUUUUAGUUGGUAGUUGACCCUUACCCCUCCACACCCAGUGCACAAUCCUGGGAUAUGUCCACGGCAGUGCCCUUGCCCACAGCAACAUGCUGGAGUGCACUCUGUGCUUCACUUAAUGUCACUUUCUAGCUAAUGUCAUAGCUGGGCACCAGCCAGCAUCACUCGUCCUUGUAUGUGCACCCCAGGCUGUCUCUCUUCAUGCUGGACCUUGCCCUGAAUCACAGAUGUGGCUCGGGGAAGCAGUUUUGCCUGCUUUCUCCAUCACUGUUGUCAGGUUUCAGCUGCAGGCAUAGCAGAAGCAGCUUCCCUGGGACAUUUUGCAUGAGGUCUUUAUGGAGACGAACAUCUCAAACUAAGAAAACCUUUCCAGGUGCAGACCAGAUGUGAGCUUUUCUGAUGUUUUUUUAUAGAGAUAACAAAGAACACAUGGUCAGCCUGUGGUGGCUUCCUUUAAGCUGCCUGCUGGCUUAAAACAGGAGAUUCGCUUGUGUUCUGACAUAGCAACAAGAGCAGCACUCUGCAACUGGACAAGACCACUGUAAGAAGAGGACAAGCUCCCCACUCUGAAUACACCAGCUUUAUCAGAACAAUGAUAAUCCAUACAUUUCUGAGGCCUGAACAUUCCCUUCAAUUGCCCCUCACACAGACCCAGGAGCUAAAGGCAAUCUGCAAGGUCAACCAGAUGGUGGGAUGGUCCCAACCACCCAUGUCACAGAAGUGCAGGAAGCAAAACCAGAUGGGAAUGGGAAAUCACCUGAGGACAUCUCAGUUCCAAGCUGUGCACUGCACCUGGACACCCUUGCUGUGGGUGGCCAAGUGCAGCGUUUGGCUGAGGCUGUUCUGCAAGGAGGAUCCCCAGACAAUGAAAGGUGCCCUUCUCUGACCAGAUGUUAUCCUUUGCUGCCUCUAUGGUCAGCAGAGGAAAAGGCAUGGAGGUACGCUGAGAUGUGAUUCAUCUCCUGAGGAAGAAGUGUCCUUCUGCACAGAGGAACUGCACUAAGGAAAGGCCUGCUGUCCCCCACUGAAAUGGAUGGGUCCCAGCUCACUGGGAGCUGCCAGUGUUGGAGGACAUCCAGGGGAAUCUCACCCCAAAAGGCAGAGACCUGCCACCUCCCUCCCUACGUUGUGCUGCAGUUCAUCCUCUGCUAAAUAUUUGUGUCUCAAGGAUGUCUGGAUGGGGCUGUGGAUUACCCAGACUGCUGAACUACUGUAGCAAAGUAAACAAAUAUCUGAAACAAAAAACAAGCAACUGCUGUCACAGGGCUUUUUGUUUUGUUUUGUUUUGUUUUUGGUUAUUUUUUCCCUGAUAUUAAACAAGGGUUUAAUUAAGAAAACAUCCGACAGAUGGCAGGACGGUACCUAAUACAAGAUAGAGCACUUCUGCAAAUUUAAGGUGGUUCUUUAACAGUCCUUUCUGCAAAGCAGAAGUGAGAGCCGUGGGUUUGGGAGACAUUACUCACUGGCUUGUGUGGGCAUUUCUGGAUCUGAGCUCACUGAGGAGGCUUCUGCCUUCACCGUUCCUGUCUCCUCCCUUUCCCCUCUCCCCGAGGGCUGCCCCCAGCUGACCCCGCUGCUGUGCCUCUCUUCCCUUGGCUCGGUGGUGAGGGGUGGAUGGAGCACUGGGUGAAGUGAAUGGACACAGCUGUGUGGCGGAGGUGGUGGUUUUCAUUUCCCUGAUGAUUUACAAGGAAUUCUGCUGUAGGCAUGAGGAAGAAAGGGCAACUAUGUGGCUGAACUGCUGAGGUGGCCAUCCCAGCACCAUGUGGCAACAUUUUCUCGUAAACCCGGCAAGCCUGAAAGCCCUCUGGAGAGUAUGAGCUGAUGUGGGGUUUUGCUUGGACAUUUUUGGUUUGAUUCUUUUUGUCCAGAGGAAACUGAAAAUAAACCAAAUGUGUCUGUUUCAUCUGAGUUUCCCAUGAUUUUUUGCACUCUUUCAUAUGCG